CGUGGAUCAAUGAUGUUAUUGAUUUUACUGCGUUAUCUUCCUGCAUCUAACAAUGAAAUGGAGAUAAAUUUUGUACACGCUGAGAUCCAUU
rfam:Populus trichocarpa scaffold_6_contig_52, whole genome shotgun sequence.